ACAAUGGAGAGUUUGAUCCUGGCUCAGGAUGAACGCUAGCGGGAGGCCUAACACAUGCAAGCCGAGCGGUAGAUUGCUUUCGGGCAAUUGAGAGCGGCGUACGGGUGCGGAACACGUGUGCAACCUGCCUUUAUCUGGGGGAUAGCCUUUCGAAAGGAAGAUUAAUACCCCAUAAUAUAAGAGACGGCAUCGUUUUUUAUUGAAAACUCCGGUGGAUAGAGAUGGGCACGCGCAAGAUUAGAUAGUUGGUGAGGUAACGGCUCACCAAGUCUACGAUCUUUAGGGGGCCUGAGAGGGUGAUCCCCCACACUGGUACUGAGACACGGACCAGACUCCUACGGGAGGCAGCAGUGAGGAAUAUUGGACAAUGGGUGAAAGCCUGAUCCAGCCAUCCCGCGUGAAGGACGACGGCCCUAUGGGUUGUAAACUUCUUUUGUAUAGGGAUAAACCUUUCCACGAGUGGAAAGCUGAAGGUACUAUACGAAUAAGCACCGGCUAACUCCGUGCCAGCAGCCGCGGUAAUACGGAGGGUGCAAGCGUUAUCCGGAUUUAUUGGGUUUAAAGGGUCCGUAGGCUGAUUUGUAAGUCAGUGGUGAAAUCUCACAGCUUAACUGUGAAACUGCCAUUGAUACUGCAAGUCUUGAGUGUUGUUGAAGUAGCUGGAAUAAGUAGUGUAGCGGUGAAAUGCAUAGAUAUUACUUAGAACACCAAUUGCGAAGGCAGGUUACUAAGCAACAACUGACGCUGAUGGACGAAAGCGUGGGGAGCGAACAGGAUUAGAUACCCUGGUAGUCCACGCCGUAAACGAUGCUAACUCGUUUUUGGGAUGUAAAUUUCAGAGACUAAGCGAAAGUGAUAAGUUAGCCACCUGGGGAGUACGAACGCAAGUUUGAAACUCAAAGGAAUUGACGGGGGCCCGCACAAGCGGUGGAUUAUGUGGUUUAAUUCGAUGAUACGCGAGGAACCUUACCAAGGCUUAAAUGGGAAAUGACAGGCUUAGAAAUAGGCUUUUCUUCGGACAUUUUUCAAGGUGCUGCAUGGUUGUCGUCAGCUCGUGCCGUGAGGUGUUAGGUUAAGUCCUGCAACGAGCGCAACCCCUGUCACUAGUUGCCAUCAUUAAGUUGGGGACUCUAGUGAGACUGCCUACGCAAGUAGAGAGGAAGGUGGGGAUGACGUCAAAUCAUCACGGCCCUUACGCCUUGGGCCACACACGUAAUACAAUGGCCGGUACAGAGGGCAGCUACACAGCGAUGUGAUGCAAAUCUCGAAAGCCGGUCUCAGUUCGGAUUGGAGUCUGCAACUCGACUCUAUGAAGCUGGAAUCGCUAGUAAUCGCGCAUCAGCCAUGGCGCGGUGAAUACGUUCCCGGGCCUUGUACACACCGCCCGUCAAGCCAUGGAAGUCUGGGGUACCUGAAGUCGGUGACCGUAACAGGAGCUGCCUAGGGUAAAACAGGUAACUAGGGCUAAGUCGUAACAAGGUAGCCGUACCGGAAGGUGCGGCUGGAACAUCUCAUUUUAGA
rnacentral:rRNA from 1 species